rnacentral:rRNA from 1 species
UACGAAGGGGGCUAGCGUUGCUCGGAAUCACUGGGCGUAAAGGGUGCGUAGGCGGGUCUUUAAGUCAGGGGUGAAAUCCUAGAGCUCAACUCCAGAACUGCCUUUGAUACUGAAGAUCUUGAGUUCGGGAGAGGUGAGUGGAACUGCGAGUGUAGAGGUGAAAUUCGUAGAUAUUCGCAAGAACACCAGUGGCGAAGGCGGCUCACUGGCCCGAUACUGACGCUGAGGCACGAAAGCGUGGGGAGCAAACAGG